rnacentral:rRNA from 1 species
GACGGAGGAUGCAAGCGUUAUCCGGAAUCACUGGGCGUAAAGCGUCUGUAGGUGGUGAUGAAAGUCACUGGUGCAAAACUCUGGCUCAACCGGAGGAAAGCCAGUGAAACUGCAUGACUAGAGUGUGGGAGAGGUAGAAGGAAUUCCUUGAGUAGCGGUGAAAUGCGUAGAUACAGGGAAGAACACCGGAGGCGAAAGCGUUCUACUGGAACACAACUGACACUGAGAGAAGAAAGCUAGGGGAGCGAAUGGG